UCCUAAUGCUUUGUUUGAUUUUUUUAUAGUUUCAUCAAUAUGUGGAUUCCAUGACAGUUUUUCAUUUAUUAUAACACGUAGGUAUUUUGCGUUUUUAGUCUGUGUUGCUGGUUG